GGAGCCUAAACAACAAACGUAAAGCAAUGAAAAUAUUUUAAUGAUUUGUGCGUGGGAUUGAUAAUGCAUUGGAAUGACAAAAUUUAGGAGAAUUUCCAUCAAAGAGUGUUUUUAACAUGAAAUAAGUCGAAUAAUUGGCUAAUUUACAAAAACAAAAACAGUUUAUAAAUCAGAUGUAAAUAUUAUUCAAUUCUGGCGAACAAAAUAAUUGUGCACUAAAUCAGCCGUUCAACAGUUUAAACUCAAUUCCCUAAUUCAGAAAUGUUGAAGAACGCCCCAUGUAUGUACACCCCCGCUGAGUGAAUGAGCCCAUUAAUCAAUCAUUGAGCUUCCAACAAAAGCACUGUUAUUAAUCAAUUCGAUCGAAUAUUAGCUCAUAAGUGACAUGAAAACGGACAAAACCAGGCGAACAAUCGUCGAAAAUGUUCAUUGAUAUGUUCACAUGUAUGUGUGUGUGUGUGUGUAAGAGUAUUUAUGCCAUAAACAUGUGUGCAAUCUGCUCGUGUGCGUUUUUAAUUAAAAUUGAGUUCCAAGUUCAGCACAAAGCCGCGCGAUAUUAAUGAGAAUUGAAUGCGCAGCGCAUGCAAUGGAGAAAACUGGUCGAGAGGAAUUCUAGAACCAGGCAAUAACAACGACAUACUAGAUACUAAUAAAUAUUGCGGAAGGAAAAAAUAAUAUGGCAAAGUAAUGCAAUCGCCACGUCGUUAGACCACAGCAAGCCAAAGUCAAAGCCAUGGCAAAUACUACGGCAAAAGCAGCAACAAUGUGCCAUAAUCACAUACACAUACACUUGCAGGGCAGGUCUUUGUAUGUGUGUGUGUCAUUGUCAACCACACCAUUGAACCGCCGACAAAACUACAACGUGCACCAAGCUUGAGGGUUUGUAGCAACUGUUGCAUGCACAUAUUUCUGCAAACUGUACGCCAGUGGCGACUGAAUUACUUAGUCUUUUAUAUUUUGCGACGCAAUUGCCACAAUUAACAAGUAUAAAUUGAAAUUGCAAUUCAACGCCGCAUGUGGCAAAAUGCGAGGAGCGGUAAUUGCGAAUGCAACAACAACAAUAACAAGAGCUUGGAAACUAUUAUGAGCCAUAAAGAUGAGUUCGCAGGAGGCGACACAUAUCACAAAGACACAUUGCAUAUUAGAGUCACAAUCGCGACACAAUGAGAGGGGAAAGCAAUGGGCAAGCCUAGACGCAUGUACCCAUGUAUGUGUAUUUCUUUUAUUUAUCAACUAUUUAUUCCAGUACCAUUAACAUUGGUUGCUGUGAAAUCUAAGCUAAGCCACUCAUCUAGAAGUUAGCUUACGAAAUCGUUCGAAAUGCGAAAGAAAAAACCCUGAGAUCAUUUGCGAGUACACGUUUGACUUGUGACUUUGGAAAUGUUUAAAACAAAUUAUUAUAACACUGAUCACUGCCAAACGACGAUUUUAAUCGAUAAGUUUGUAUGGCAGCUAUAUGUUGUAAGGCUGCAAUUUCGGUCAAUUCUAACAAAUGCGCAGCUUCUUCGGAAGGAAAAGGCGUGUAAAUAUAUUCAGAUCGAUAUCAAAAACUGAAGGGCUGUUCUUGUAUUCGAAGUUUCUCCGGUAAUUAAUUAAACUGGGUGCUUCUUUUCACCAAAGUAUCAAAAAGUGGCAAAAUACAUGUUAAGCUACGCGAUUGAAGCAGUGAAUCAAACCUACUUUUAAGGACCAGGAAUCAUACCCUUCAGCAAUAUCUGAUUUUUCGCAAUGAUGAAAUGUUGAAGCUCGCGAAGUGAGCAGCGGAAAAAAAUUAGCUAGUAACGGUGGUUAACAAAGUAUAUGCACGUAAGAACACGCUGACGAUGAAAUGUGGCUCAGUGCAAUUGUUGUUGUCGAAAAGUGCAGCCUUUGCUGCAAAUAGGCGCUGCGAUAGUCAACGAACCAGCGGUGUACAUACAUACAUACCAUGUGUACGUGUGUUUGCGGUUGGCUUUUGCUGCUUAUAUGAUGAAUGAUGCCUGGUUUGUUGGUUGCUGGCUCGGAAGCUGCUUUAGUGGUCUAGUGGUGGGAGCGGGGGAGUGGCAUCCACGCCGCUGGUUAUACGCUGCGCUUUGAGAGUAAACAAAUGCAGAUAAGUAAGGUAAAUGGCGGAAGGCGGGCAAAGCAAGAGCAGACAAAGUGGUAACUGAGUAAGUAUAGGCAGUUUCUACCGAAACUUAUAUCAGUUGGCAGUCAGGAGGGAAUAUUUGUCUAACGAAACAAUAGUUUUACAAAAUAAAAAUAUUAUUAAUGCAAGAAAUAGUAUCUAAAUAUAUAGAACUUGAAUUAUUCGUUAAAAAAUUAAUGUGCAAAGUAAAGUUAUUGAAUUGAGACGUUUUUACACAAAACUAAAUUAUGGAAUCUUUAAAGCAAUAAAUGAAAUUUAAUUUUUAAGAAAA